GAUCCAGUGCAGAUCCAACCAAUAACUUUGGCGUCAUCAACGUUGCAGAUCCGGAGGCAUAGCUAUUCCGAAGAUUUUAAUAUAGUCAUAUUUGUAGGCUUAUGUACUUUGCCGUUUUAUGCUAUAUAUUAACAUGGAUGUUGUGAGUUUUUUCACAAAUUCAUCCUUUUUGUUUUUAGUGAAUUUGUAUUGCAUCGAUGUACUCUGUCAAUUUGAAUGAAUGAAUGUGUCCUUUGUUUUGU
rnacentral:lncRNA from 1 species